GGGUAUAUAGCUCAGUGGUAGAAUGCAUGCUUAGCAUGCAUGAGGUCCUGGGUUCACUCUCCAGUACCUUCA
rnacentral:tRNA from 1 species